UACGUAGGGUGCGAGCGUUGUCCGGAAUUAUUGGGCGUAAAGAGCUCGUAGGCGGUCUGUUGCGUCUGCUGUGAAAACUCGGGGCUUAACCCCGAGCCUGCAGUGGAUACGGGCAGACUAGAGGUAGGUAGGGGAGAAUGGAAUUCCCGGUGGUAGCGGUGAAAUGCGCAGAUAUCGGGAGGAACACCGGUGGCGAAGGCGGUUCUCUGGGCCUUACCUGACGCUGAGGAGCGAAAGCGUGGGAGCGAACAGG
rnacentral:rRNA from 1 species